UUGGAGUCAUAAAUAUGGACGAUAUACAUUACCAGACUAUUAAGAUGCUACUCAAGGAGGGAAAGAUCAAGGUUUAUGACUGCAAAUUACCUGCCUUAGACGAGGCCAAUUUUUUUACCAACAUGAAGCCACUGUUGGAGUUGUUCUCAUCUUGUUGAGGCAGAGUAAAUUGAUGGAUCAUUUACCAAGGGAAGUGUUGAUGAAGUAACCUUGAGAUUUUGAAGGACGA
rnacentral:lncRNA from 1 species